rnacentral:tRNA from 1 species
GAAGUGGUGGUUCAGUGGUAGAAUUCUUACCUCUCGUGCAGGAGACCUAGGUUCAAUUCCCGGCCAAUGCA